AGGGGGCGUGCCGAGCCCGAGGGAGGGGUCGUCCUGCGGGUAGCCGGAGGCCGGGGAGGUUCUGGAGCCUAGGGUGAGAGAGGGAACGAAAGGUGAGCGGGGCUGAAGGAGGGGACGCACUGCCUGGCGCCCCCAAUCUAUGGAGAGGGGUAAGAUGGCGGAGGCGGAGAGCCUGGAGACAGCGGCAGAGCACGAGCGGAUCCUGCGAGAGAUCGAGAGCACCGACACGGCCUGCAUCGGGCCCACCCUCAGGUCUGUCUAUGAUGGUGAAGAACAUGGACGAUUCAUGGAGAAGCUUGAAACUCGCAUCCGUAAUCAUGACCGAGAAAUUGAGAAAAUGUGCAACUUUCAUUACCAGGGCUUUGUGGACUCUAUAACUGAACUGUUGAAAGUGAGAGGAGAAGCCCAGAAACUCAAAAAUCAAGUGACGGAUACUAAUAGAAAACUGCAACAUGAGGGAAAGGAACUGGUAAUAGCAAUGGAAGAGCUGAAGCAGUGUCGACUACAACAGAGAAAUAUUUCAGCCACUGUUGAUAAAUUAAUGCUGUGUCUUCCAGUCCUAGAGAUGUAUAGCAAACUGAGGGACCAGAUGAAAACUAAAAGGCAUUAUCCUGCACUGAAAACUCUGGAACAUCUAGAGCAUACCUAUCUGCCUCAAGUAAGCCACUAUCGAUUCUGCAAGGUGAUGGUGGACAACAUCCCCAAGCUUCGAGAAGAAAUUAAGGAUGUUUCUAUGUCUGAUCUCAAAGACUUUUUGGAGAGUAUCCGCAAACAUUCAGACAAAAUCGGAGAGACUGCCAUGAAGCAAGCUCAGCAACAGAGAAACCUGGAUAACAUCGUCUUGCAACAACCCAGAAUAGGUAGCAAGAGAAAAUCUAAGAAAGAUGCAUACACAAUUUUUGAUACAGAGAUAGAAAGCACUAGCCCCAAGUCUGAACAGGACUCAGGAAUUCUGGAUGUUGAAGAUGAGGAAGAUGAUGAAGAGGUACCUGGAGCCCAAGAUUUGGUGGAUUUCUCUCCUGUUUAUCGAUGUCUACACAUAUAUUCUGUCCUGGGUGCCCGUGAAACAUUUGAGAACUACUACCGAAAACAGAGGCGAAAACAGGCCCGUUUGGUGCUCCAGCCUCCAUCUAACAUGCAUGAAACUUUAGAUGGCUACAGGAAGUAUUUUAAUCAAAUUGUAGGCUUUUUUGUGGUUGAAGAUCACAUUUUACAUACAACCCAGGGCUUAGUAAACCGAGCCUACAUUGAUGAACUCUGGGAAAUGGCACUUUCAAAAACCAUCGCGGCACUCCGCACCCACUCGUCUUACUGCUCUGAUCCAAACCUUGUGUUAGAUUUGAAGAACCUCAUUGUGCUUUUUGCUGACACACUUCAGGUGUAUGGUUUUCCUGUGAAUCAGCUUUUUGACAUGCUGUUAGAAAUCAGAGAUCAGUAUAGUGAAACUCUGCUAAAGAAGUGGGCAGGUAUUUUCAGAAACAUACUUGAUUCUGACAACUACAGCCCUAUACCAGUAACAAGUGAAGAGAUGUAUAAAAAGGUGGUAGGACAAUUCCCAUUCCAAGACAUAGAGCUGGAAAAGCAGCCAUUUCCAAAAAAGUUUCCUUUCUCUGAAUUUGUGCCAAAAGUUUACAACCAAAUUAAGGAAUUUAUCUAUGCCUGCCUGAAGUUUUCAGAAGAUCUUCACCUAAGCUCAACCGAAGUCGAUGACAUGAUUCGUAAAUCUACAAACCUGUUGCUAACCAGGACUCUGAGCAACUCUCUGCAGAAUGUCAUUAAAAGGAAGAAUAUUGGACUUACUGAGCUUGUCCAGAUUAUUAUCAAUACGACACACUUGGAGAAGUCCUGUAAGUACUUGGAAGAAUUCAUUACCAACAUCACUAAUGUGCUUCCAGAGACAGUCCACACCACCAAGCUCUAUGGCACCACAACUUUUAAGGAGCUCUUCUGCUGUUGUGUUAGCAUUUUUCAGAUCUGUCGUUCCUUAGAACACAUUUCAAGAAACAUUGGCGUAUACCAAUCUUUGAAGGAGCCUGAUGACAAAGACACCAGAGAGGAUGCCAGACAUGCAGCUGAAGAAGAAAUUUAUACCAAUUUAAACCAGAAGAUUGACCAGUUUCUACAGCUGGCUGACUAUGACUGGAUGACUGGAGAUUUGGGCAACAAAGCUAGUGAUUACCUAGUAGACCUCAUUGCCUUUCUACGAAGCACUUUUGCUGUAUUCACACACCUUCCUGGAAAAGUGGCCCAGACAGCAUGUAUGUCAGCUUGCAAGCAUUUGGCCACAUCCUUGAUGCAGCUGUUGCUGGAAGCCGAAGUAAGACAGCUCACCUUGGGAGCAUUGCAGCAGUUCAACUUGGAUGUCAGAGAAUGUGAACAGUUUGCCAGAUCCGGCCCGGUGCCUGGGUUCCAGGAGGACACGCUGCAGUUGGCCUUCAUCGACUUGAGACAACUUAUUUUGUCAAACUCUGAGUGCCUACCGUGAACAGAGCACAACCCCGGUGCUGUGGGAAUACAGAAGUGAAUAUCAUACAGUCUCUGACCUCCAGGAGCAAAGAAGUGAUCAGCAAAUACUUAAUUUUAAUAUAAGUCAGUCUGUAGUGAGCAUUACGUUGGAAGGAUGAAGCUAUUACAUAUGUUUCAAUUAUUUCGUUGUGUUUUGCUGCAUAACAAAGCACCCAAAAUGCCUUGUCUUAAAAGAAGAAUCAUUUAUUUAACUCAGGUUUCUACAGAUUAGCAAUUAGGAUAGGUUCUGGGGGCUCACUCACACCUUGAGGUCAGGUACUAGAUUCACUAGGAACUGCCUGGUCUAGGGUGUCUUAGCUAGACUGACUCUUCUCUGCUCCGUGUGGUCUCUCAUCCACCAGCAGCCUAACCCAGGCGUAAUCACGUGGCGUAUUGGUAGGUUUCAAGAGAGCGAGGGGAAAUAUGCAAACCCCUUAAGGUCUACACUUUGGAACUGGCAAGCCAUCGUUCCCACCACAUCUUAUGGGCUAGAGCUGGUCACAGGGCCAGCCCAAAAUCAAAGAGCGGGGAAAUCAACUUCAGUUUAUCCUCCGGUUGGGAUAUAAGACCUUUAUACAAACUAUGCAUCUAUAAUUGCAGAAAGAGGCCAUGGAGUGGAGAGGUCUUCGGGAGCCUAAGUAGUUAUAAAAUACUGCAUUAAAAUAGUGGAAAGUUCAACUGAUAGAAACCAGGCAUUGGUGAGGGAGGAAAGUGUUUUAAGCAUAGAGAAUAGCCAGUUUUAAGUUUUGUUUAAAAACAUAUAUGGAGUUGUUUUAACUAGGAUCUAGACUAUCUUUCCUUUUUUUUAAGUCUUAGACUAAUCUUUUUAAAACCCCAUUUCUUACUUUCUCUUCUUCGUUUCUUACUUUUACUAUUCAGCUUCCUCAUGGACCUGUUUUUUUGUUUGUUUGUUUGGUUUUGUUUAUGCCUUCUCCUUCUCAGCAAACACUGCUUAUUGUAGGCUACCCUGAAACAUUUCACAUUUCUGUUACAUUCACUGUGAGGGAAUCGUAACUUCCCUAGAUAAUUAAUUAUUUAUAUUACUCAUUUAAUUUCUGGCUGUUCACCGUACAUAUUUGACCAACAGGAAAAGGUUGGAGUGGAUUCUUUUCUUUAGUAGCAUCACAUUAUUUUCUGUUCCUUGGCCCCAAUUGUUGCUUACUUCCGAUAUACUAAGUUUUUAUAGAGCUGAAUGAACUAGGUUGUGACAUUGCAUCAGAUCUCCUGAAUGGAGCUUGUUGGCAACGACUCUCAAACAGCAAAGCCAUCCCAAGAUAUCUGCGGCUUUUUUUAGAUGGAGCUGGUGACAUUCCCUCUAGGCCAGUUAUUCCCCAAUUUCUAAACCUUCUGACUAAAGUAAACACGGUGCAUUUCCAUUGCAGGCACUUAACUUGCCUUAACAACAACUCUAGGACCUAAGAGAAAUAGUUGUAUAUUUCUUUGGAGACGUUGAAAGAAUUCUGAUGUUCGUGUUAGAGGCGUAAAAGUGAAAUCAGGACCGUCCGCUCUGUCAGAAAUGAAAUCCAGAGUCAUCCUAUCCUAAAGGCAUUGGUGGUUGGAAGAAGAUAAAGUAAUAAUAUCAGACUGUCUGCACAAAUCUCUUUGCUGAGACAGAGGUACUAAAAGUUCCUACAGACCCUAGUCCAUGUUUUAACAUAGAUAAAGCAAGCAAACUUUAUAGACCUCCCUAAAUCAGAAGUAUUCAUUCAUUCAUUGGACACUGUCCCUAGCACUAUUACAGUGACUCUACUGGUAUAGUUGGGAAUAAAACAACUGCAUCCAAGGGGUUGCCAGUUGGUCUCAAUUUUGAUUUUUUUUUUUUUAUAUUGAUGCUGUAUCGGUCAGUUUUAGGGACAGCCGCAGAGCUUUCUGCAAAUCCCCAGGGCCAGCUCAAGUCUGUUGUACACUGAUACACAGGCUUUCAGAAAAGAACCUGUAGCUGUGAUUUGGCAGCCCGGCAUACAUAAGAUGGCCAUCUUGAAAAGCUUCAGAGGGUGGCCCUUUGGUUUUUGAAAGUAGGGUUUUCUGGUUGUUUUGACAAAAUUGUUGUGCCCAUGUUAUUUUGACAGGCACCAGGGCGAUACCUUUAACCUCAAAGGAAUCUCUGACCACAAACGAUUCCCGUUCCCGAGUUGGGGAAAGCUUACGCCUUUGGUCUGGUUCUGUAAAAAACAGAGAUAGGAACGUUUCUGAGAAUAGACUCCACCGAGCUAGACUUAUGACCUCAUGUAAGCCAAGGCUAGAUCAGCACACACAGGAUGGGGCACAGGUAGAUAAGGUCUUCAGCCACUGAGAUAGAUGCUGCUGCUGCCACUGAAAAUCAGGUAUCUUUCCUUAUGUAACUGGGCUGCCAUGGAAAAUUUAUAGAAGGAAUUGCCAGUAAUAUGUAACACAUUCUGGGAUUUACCCAAUGUCCUUGGUUGAUUGGAGGAAAGUCUAUUCUAGAACUGCUGA